AUUGAACGCUGGCGGCAGGCCUAACACAUGCAAGUCGAGCGGAUGAGUGGAGCUUGCUCCAUGAUUCAGCGGCGGACGGGUGAGUAAUGCCUAGGAAUCUGCCUGGUAGUGGGGGACAACGUUUCGAAAGGAACGCUAAUACCGCAUACGUCCUACGGGAGAAAGUGGGGGAUCUUCGGACCUCACGCUAUCAGAUGAGCCUAGGUCGGAUUAGCUAGUUGGUGAGGUAAAGGCUCACCAAGGCGACGAUCCGUAACUGGUCUGAGAGGAUGAUCAGUCACACUGGAACUGAGACACGGUCCAGACUCCUACGGGAGGCAGCAGUGGGGAAUAUUGGACAAUGGGCGAAAGCCUGAUCCAGCCAUGCCGCGUGUGUGAAGAAGGUCUUCGGAUUGUAAAGCACUUUAAGUUGGGAGGAAGGGCAGUAAGUUAAUACCUUGCUGUUUCGACGUUACCAACAGAAUAAGCACCGGCUAACUUCGUG
rnacentral:rRNA from 1 species